rnacentral:rRNA from 1 species
GAUGAACGCUGGCGGCGUGCCUAAUACAUGCAAGUCGAGCGAACGGACGAGAAGCUUGCUUCUCUGGUGUUAGCGGCGGACGGGUGAGUAACACGUGGAUAACCUACCUAUAAGACUGGGAUAACUUCGGGAAACCGGAGCUAAUACCGGAUAAUAUUUUGAACCGCAUGGUUCAAAAGUGAAAGACGGUCUUGCUGUCACUUAUAGAUGGAUCCGCGCUGCAUUAGCUAGUUGGUAAGGUAACGGCUUACCAAGGCAACGAUGCAUAGCCGACCUGAGAGGGUGAUCGGGCACACUGGAACUGAGACACGGUCCAGACUCCUACGGGAGGCAGCAGUAGGGAAUCUUCCGCAAUGGGCGAAAGCCUGACGGAGCAACGCCGCGUGAGUGAUGAAGGUCUUCGGAUCGUAAAACUCUGUUAUUAGGGAAGAACAUAUGUGUAAGUAACUGUGCACAUCUUGACGGUACCUAAUCAGAAAGCCACGGCUAACUACGUG